UCGCCUGGAUCCUGGGUCGAUGCUCAACUGCUGAGCCAGGCCCGGCCGGGCUUGGUUUUCUUUCAGAAACCAAGGAGGCACAUCUAAUGUCAAUGCCACAGAUCCCUGGGACUAGGAGUCCUCCGAUGCUCGUAGCAGGGCGACCCGUUGAUUCCAGCCUCCACUGCAACGUGACUCCGGACGCGAACUUGGGUCAUUACUUGUAUAGCAUAUACAACGUGCAGGAGCCAUCCUGCAGUGGGAGUCCCGGUGACAGAUGCUUCCUGCUACCUCAUGGAAGAUGCAAAACCAGGUCACCCGAGCCUAGACCGCUACUUGACUUUAUGUAUAAUACACCAAGUUUUUUUUACGUAUUAAUGUACUUAAACUGUCCGAGAUCACACUGAGUAAAUAAAAAACAAAAAUAAAAAAAAA